UCAUUUGAAAAUGCUGUUGGGCUAUGAAC
rnacentral:piRNA from 1 species